AUUGAACGCUGGCGGCAGGCCUAACACAUGCAAGUCGAACGAGGGGCGGACGGGUGAGUAAUGUCGGGGAAACUGCCUGAAGGAGGGGGAUAACUAGUGGAAACGGUAGCUAAAACCGCAUACCAUCGGAUGUGCCCAGGUGGGAUUAGCUAGUAGGUGGGGUAAAGGCUCACCUAGGCGACGAGCCCUAGCUGGUCUGAGAGGAUGACCGGCCACACUGGAACUGAGACACGGUCCAGACUCCUACGGUAGGCAGCAGUGGGGAAUCUUGCACAAUGGGCGCAAGUCUGAUGCAGCCAUGCCGCGUGUAUGAAGAAGGCCUUCGGGUCGUAAAGUACUUUCAGUGGGGAAGCGUUACCCGCAGAAAAAGCCCCGGCUAACUCCGUGUCAGCAGCCGCGGUAAUUC
rnacentral:rRNA from 1 species